rnacentral:lncRNA from 1 species
GGGAGGCGCUUGGAUGUACUUUGCAACUGGAAAUUCGUCAUACCUAAAGCUUGCUACUGCUCCUGGCCUGGCCAAGCAUGCUGGUGCUUUCUGGGGAGGCUCUGAUUAUGGGGUACUCAGCUGGGAUAACAAACUUGCUGGUGCUCAGGUAAUUUUGUAGGGAUUCUGUGUUAUAUGAACUUGCUGGUGCUCAUGAAUAUUAUGCUCUAGUUGUCUUGGUUUGUCAUUUGGAAACUAGAUUAACAUCAAGAAACAGCAGCUAGAAGUAAAAGUCAUGAAGAAUUAGAUAUGUUGAAUUUCUAAGUUUUUUUGUUCACUUUUUCAUUUUUAAAGAAAAGAUUAACAAUAAUUGUCUUAUAGUUGUGGUGUUUAUGAUGGAUCCUGUAUGUGGUUUUCAAUACUUUGUCCUUUAGCAGCAAAAAUGAGUUCUUAAUUAGAUGUCUGGCUAAUCAUUCCUAAUCUUAACUAUAUUUGGUACGAUUGCUACUAAUCUUCGAAUAUUUACCUUUGUAUGUGUCAUGAGUUCUGCCAAAUACUUUUCUUAGUUCAGAUCUUCAUGUUAGCUUUAAUCCUGUCUCAUGUAUGUUGUCUUUCCAUUCUGUCUCAUGUAUGUUGUCUUUCCCUUGCACGUGUGGUCUUUGUAUCAUCCAUUACCUUGCAGACUUUGGCAAUUUUUGUGAAAUUUUAUUUGAUUGAUUUGAUCUUUCGUAAUUAGGUACUUCUGAGUCGUUUGAGGUUGUUCUUGAGUCCUGGCUAUCCAUAUGAGGAAAUUUUGAGGACCUUUCACAAUCAGACAAGCAUAAUCAUGUGCUCUUAUCUACCGGUUUUCACAAGCUUUAAUAGAACCAAAGGUAACAAUUCUUACUUCAAACCUUUCAACCAGGCACAUCAGAACUCAUGACUUAAUGAUUACUAUUCUGUGAUGUAAAUGUUGGCAUUUUGUGCACUCAGGUGGCUUGAUUCAAUUAAACCAUGGUAGGCCUCAGCCUCUGCAAUAUGUUGUCAAUGCCGCCUUUUUGGCUGCCCUAUAUAGUGAUUAUCUUGAUGCUGCUGAUACACCUGGAUGGUAUUGUGGACCUAAUUUCUUUUCAACUGAUGUGCUCCGAAACUUCGCCAAGACCCAGGUAUGUGGUAUUCUUCUCCUUUGAGAUAGUAAUUUAUGGGAUCCAAAUCCCUCAUAUUAUUAAUAUCACUAUGAGGUGCCUGCAUUAAGUUUCUUUUCCUUUGUGGGUGUUUUUUCAGAUUGAUUACAUUCUUGGAAAAAAUCCGAGGAAAAUGAGCUAUAUUGUGGGUUUUGGUAAUCAUUAUCCAAAACAUGUCCACCAUAGAGGUGCAUCUAUUCCAAAGAACAAGGUCAAGUAUAACUGUAAAGGUGGAUGGAAAUGGAGGGAUUCUUCCAAGCCAAACCCAAAUACACUUGUUGGUGCCAUGGUCGCUGGUCCUGACAAGCAUGAUGGCUUCCGUGAUGUUCGGUCAAACUACAAUUACACAGAGCCAACUCUUGCUGGAAAUGCUGGUUUAGUUGCGGCACUGGUGGCAUUAUCAGGCGACAAGAGCACAUCAAUUGACAAAAAUACCAUUUUCUCUGCUGUUCCCCCUAUGUUUCCCACGCCACCACCACCUCCAGCGCCGUGGAAACCAUAAAUGCACCAUGCCAUUGGUUAUUUCUUUCCAGCCAGUACCCCUGAUGAUUUG